rnacentral:lncRNA from 1 species
UUUUUUUUUUCAUUUCUACUCCUGAUGCCCAGCAAUGUGCAUGGUACAGAUAAAUGGAUAAAUCUGUAUGAUAUUUGUAUACAGAUAAAUGGAUAAAUCUAAACGUGUUAUUUGCAUACAGAUAAAUAAAUGGAUAAAUCUAAACAUGUGUUAUUUGCAUACAGAUAAAUGGAUAAAUCUAAACAUGUGUUAUUUGCAUACAGAUAAAUGGAUAAAUCUAAACAUGUGUUAUUUGCAUACAGAUAAAUGGAUAAAUCUAAACAUGUGUUAUUUGCAUACAGAUAAAUGGAUAAAUCUAAACAUGUGUUAUUUGCAUACAGAUAAAUGGAUAAAUCUAAACAUGUGUUAUUUGCAUACAGAUAAAUGGAUAAAUCUAAACAUGUGUUAUUUGCAUACAUUACUCAUAUGAUCUUGGAUCUUGGUAUUAACCAGUGUGUAGUAGAGUGAUACUGAGGUGAUUUUCUAGUUGUGAUCUUGUUUACUCUUUUAAGCUAAAGAGUUCCCUCAUGUGAAUGCUACCCCAGGAAUAUUAUUAUAAUAUUCCCCAAUGAUCAAUAAAAUGCACACUUAUUUCUAGAUAUGACACCAAAGUACAAGAGAAUCUGAGACUAGGGUUGUUUACACCAGGGGUUCGCAAAGUGAUCCCUUGACUAGCAGCAUCAGACCCACUGAAUCAGAAACUAUUAGAGGGAGACCCAGAAAUCCAAGCUUUCAACAAGACUACAAGUUACUAUAAUAAAUUCUUAUGGCUGAAAACCCCUGACUAGGUACAACUGGGCAGAAAAUUGUUCUCACUAAUCUGCCCUGAAUAAUGGGAUGUUCCCUGGACCUAACCGACAGGUCAACAUUGCUAUCACAACAGGCAAGUUCUCUCUUCUGAGGAAAUGCAACUUCAUUUUAGGCCACAGAAUGGGAGCAAAUAAGUAAAACUCUGACCAGAAAAAUUAGUGGAUUUCUCUUAUUUCUGUCACUACUCUUUAUAGCAUGACUUAAACCAGUAGGUCUUAAAAACUACUGUUUUAAACCACAUAGCACAGUUGCAUGGCACUCUGGUGGUUCUAACCAGGGGCAAAAAAUGAGUGAACUAGAACUCGACAGAAUGAAGGAAAAACGAAUGGAGCAGCAAGGGUCAGCAGUCUAAAGAAAAGGAUGCAGGAUGGGACCAGUUCUCGACCAAGCAUAGCUGGUGUCAAGGUAGGGAGGAGGGGCCACAGUGGGGAAAGGAAGAAUGGGUAGGGAGAGGAAGAAAGGCCGUGGUGGCCAAUAGCAGGCAGGAGUCCGGUCCUGUGUCAGGAAUGUUCCUGUGCUGCGGCGUGGAGAACACCGAAAGCUGCCUCCAGCUCCAUGCCAAGGGCUAAUGAGAUAGUGAGGAGUUUGAGGCAAGAAUCUAGCCCCACACAGGAAAAGAGGAAGCAGCAAGCCCGAGGGCUGGAGAAUAAUCACAAGAGCAGCAGCUGUUAACAUGAAGUACUGAUUUUAUACUUGGUUCAUUAUAGAAAUAUAAAAAAUACAUAUACAUAUUUAUUAGAUAUACUGUUUUGUUUUGUUUUGUCUUUUUGCCUCUUCUAGGGCCACUCCCACUGCAUAUGGAGGUUCCCAGGCUAGGGGUCAAAUCAGAGCUGUAGCUGCCGGCCUACACCAGAGCCACAGCAACGCAGGAUCCAAGCUGCAUCUGCAACCUAUACCACAGCUCACAGCAGUGUCAGAUCCUUAACCCACUGAGCAAGGCCAGGGAUCGAACCCACAACCUCAUGGUUCCUAAUCGAAUUCGUUAACCACUGAGCCACAACGGGAACUCCUAGAUACAGUGUUGUAUAUAUUUUAUAGAAUGUUAAUGUACAUUUAUUGGCUAUAUUAUAAUUCGUGAUAUAUGUUACUUGUCCUGGUCAUCUUGAAAGAGCCAUUGUACAAAUGAGGAGGCAAAGACACAGAGAUAAAUCUUGCCCAAAUGACGGUGACGAACAAGUUGGUAGCUGUGUCCCUCAUUCGAGCCUUAUAAUCUUUCUACCAUAUCACUGAACUUCCCAGAUAAGCAGGACAGCUGUUCAAGAUGAGGAGAGAGAGGGAAGGUGAGACCCCAUGCUGACGUGAGCCCCUGGACUGGGAAACCACCUCAGGAGCACAAGAGCAGCAGGUGAUUUUCAUGGCCACCUGGUAGCAGGCAGCAAUUCUUCAUGCGUCCCCAAGUCUGGCUCUUACUGAUCCACGGCUUGGGAGAGCCAGAGCCUGCAGAGGUCAGCAUCCUGAAGGCUGAUAAACUGUACAUUUUUAUGCCUUUGUAUACAGCUAGACUAGUUUUCAGUAACAAAGGAAGCUCUGUUCAUUGACUUACCAGACCAGAGCAAGGUGUGCCUUAGAGGUUCAGCCAUGGUUAAGCUCGUGGACGCUGAAGCCUGUCUGCAACGUAUAAGCUAUGUGACCUGGUCAAGUCACUUAACAUCCCUAUGCCAGGAUUUUCUACUCCCUAAAACGGGGAUAGCAGCGAUGCCGCCCUCAUUGGGCUGUUGGGACUAUGCGAGUCACUACAGGUAAAGCACAGUGCCCACUACACAGUACAAGCUAUAUAAGCAUAAUUUCAAAAGGCUCAGUUAUCACUUCAAAUGUCUUUUCAGUGUCUCACAGGAAUAAAGCAUGAAACCAUCAAGCAGGAAGAUCUUUGCUUUAGUUCAGUUUAGGUAGAUUCAUUUAUAAAGUUUAUAACUGAGCCCAACUCCUAGAAUACUAGUGCUUCAUGGAAAAAAUAUAAUAAAAUUAUCAGUGAAAGAUGUGAAAAGGGAAAAAAUCCUCCCCAUACAAUCAUCAUUACCCAAAUCUGCCACUUUCACAUAUUACGAGCUAGUCUUUGUCCAUGGACACACACAUUUUACACUAUUGUAAUCACUGCAGAUAACUAAAUCUCUAUUUUUUUAUAAUUAUCGUGAUUAUAUCACAAGUAUUUCUGAUUAUAACUCAUGUUCAUGACAUAUUAAUGGCUGGAAAAUAGUCUAUCCCAUCACUAAACUGUAUUCUCUGCACAACCAAGAAAUUCAGCUUAUUAAUCAUGAAACCAUUAGACUCUGGAUAACUUUUAUCUGGAAGUAAAAACAGCUUCUUGUAUCAAAAAUGAUGGGUAGCCAAUCAAACAUCAGAAGAGAGAAAAGGUUUUUUAACUGUUUGAAAACAAUGAUGAACUGAGCGCAAUUAUUUUUUUAGUAAUAUGUUACUAAUGACUAUGAACUAAAAGAAAAUCAAAUGUCCUUUCUAUAAUGUCAGUAAAACGCUCAGGCCUUGGACUCCUUGGCAAUACCUCUGUCUUCCUUUUUUUUUAGGGUGGGGGAGAAUGCUGG